rnacentral:rRNA from 1 species
GGUAAGGCGUCAAGCGAGUGGACCUGCGGAGGAUCAUUACCUAGAGUUGCGGGCUUUGCCUGCUAUCUCUUACCCAUGUCUUUUGAGUACCUUCGUUUCCUCGGCGGGUUCGCCCGCCGAUUGGACAAUUUAAACCAUUUGCAGUUGCAAUCAGCGUCUGAAAAAACUUAAUAGUUACAACUUUCAACAACGGAUCUCUUGGUUCUGGCAUCGAUGAAGAACGCAGCGAAAUGCGAUAAGUAGUGUGAAUUGCAGAAUUCAGUGAAUCAUCGAAUCUUUGAACGCACAUUGCGCCCCUUGGUAUUCCAUGGGGCAUGCCUGUUCGAGCGUCAUUUGUACCUUCAAGCUCUGCUUGGUGUUGGGUGUUUGUCUCGCCUCUGCGCGCAGACUCGCCUCAAAACAAUUGGCAGCCGGCGUAUUGAUUUCGGAGCGCAGUACAUCUCGCGCUUUGCACUCAUAACGACGACGUCCAAAAGUACAUUUUUACACUCUUGACCUCGGAUCAGGUAGGGAUACCCGCUGAACUUAAGCAUAUCAAAAAACC